UGGGGAAUAUUGGACAAUGGGCGCAAGCCUGAUGCAGCGACGCCGCGUGGAGGAUGAAGGUCUUCGGAUUGUAAACUCCUGUCGACCGGGACGAAUGCACUCGACCUAAUACGUCGGAAUGUUGACGGUACCGGUGGAGGAAGCCACGGCUAACUCUGUGCCAGCAGCCGCGGUAAUACAGGGGGUGCGAGCGUUAAUCGGAAUUACUGGGCGUAAAGGGCGCGUAGGCGGUCGAGUAAGUCGGAUGUGAAAUCCCCGGGCUUAACCUGGGAAUUGCAUUCGAUACUGCUUGGCUAGAGUGUGGAAGAGGGAAGCGGAAUUUCCGGUGUAGCGGUGAAAUGCGUAGAUAUCGGAAGGAACACCAGUGGCGAAGGCGGCUUCCUGGUCCAACACUGACGCUGAGGCGCGAAAGCGUGGGGAGCAAACAGGAUUAGAUACCCCAGUAGUCCCUGAGCGGGCUGGCAAGGCGCAU
rnacentral:rRNA from 1 species